AUGGACUUCGACUUCGACUGCGCCGCCGCCUCGCCCGGCGGCCAGUGGAUGGGCGAGACGGCGUCGCGGCGCCGGCAGCGCCGCCUCUCGUCCUCGUCGCUCAGGGCGUACCUCACGCCGGCCUUCGACGCCGUCGCCGCCGCCGGCCAGGGGGGCAUCUCCCCUUCCUCGUAUUCGUCGGGCGGGCUGGAGCUCGGGUUCGACGCGUCGCUCCUCCGCCUCCGCCGCACCUGUUUCUCCGCCAACGCGGAGCUGGACAGCCGCCGCCUCCUCUACUCGCCGCAGUCGCCGCCGCCGCCGCAGCAGGCGCGGCCGCGGCCGAUGUACGCGGUGGCGGACCAUGAGGCGGCCUACCUCUAUGCGCCGAAACGUCAGGCUGGCGGGCUCACUGGCGCACCAGGUUUCCCGGAACUCAAGCAGACAUUUUCCAACUUCCGAUCACCAGAUGGCGCCGUCAUCCUAGGAAACAGGCCGGACCUUCUGUCGACACCGAAACCUGGUUCGACGACACCUUCAGCACAGGCGACGUCUGCAGCAGCACAGCCAACAGAGGAGGAAGAAGACCUGAUAGCCGAGGCCCUCUACGGGCGCAGCGGCCGACGCAGGCUGCCCAUCUUCAGGGAAAUCUGCCCGGAAUGA
rnacentral:rRNA from 1 species